rnacentral:rRNA from 1 species
CAGAACGAACGCUGGCGGCGCGUCUUAAGCAUGCAAGUCGAGCGGCAAGGGGUAGCAAUACCCCCUAGAGCGGCGGACUGGUGAGUAACGCGUGGGUGACCUACCCUUAGGUUGGGGAUAGCCAUUAGAAAUAGUGGGUAAUACCGAAUAUGGUUGUUUUGCUAUGGCGAGACAAAGAAAGGAGCCUUGGCUCCGCCUGAGGAUGGGCCCGCGUCCCAUUAGGUAGUUGGUGAGGUAAAGGCCCACCAAGCCCGAGAUGGGUAGCCGGCCUGAGAGGGUGAACGGCCACACUGGGACUGAGAUACGGCCCAGACUCCUACGGGAGGCAGCAGCUAAGAAUAUUCCGCAAUGGACGAAAGUCUGACGGAGCGACGCCGCGUGUAUGAAGAAGGCCGAAAGGUUGUAAAGUACUUUUCUUGCUGAAGAAUAAGCGUGGGAGGGAAUGCCCGCGUGAUGACGUAAGCAAGGAAUAAGCCCCG